rnacentral:lncRNA from 1 species
GCUGAAGGAAUACACUUCUCCUGGCUGGCAGCUGAGUGGACCUCAAAAUGAGGCGACAGAGCAAGAGAAAGACACCAGGAGUCAUGGAUGUCAUGAUGAUGCUAGAUUCACAGUUACUGGCCUAGAACUGUGUCUUGCUGAUGUAGAAGGAGAUUUGAUGACUCUCUCCAUCAUGUUGAAUUCUCCUCACAGUAUGGAUUUUAGGCUGCAACUGAACUCCUGGAUUGAAAUAUUAAGAGACCUUGAAAACCUGCUCAAUAUGUUUGAAAAAUACCAGCAAAUGUGGGCUUUCCUGAGCAAAGUGGUUGGUGAAAAAUUGUCAUGUAAUCAGAGAAAAGAUUGGGUAUGUCUAAAAUAUUACCAAAGAUUUGUUCAUCUUGUCACACAACAAUUUGUAAAUUAACAUUUUGAUUGUGUUUUUUUUUUUAUUUCCUUUUUCUAGCAGCUGCGUUUUUCUUCUAUUGAUGAGAGCUUUCAGAAAAUGAUGAACUCCAUAUGUGCCGACCCACACGUGUUAAACUUUGUUUCUAUAAAGAGAAGUGACACAUUCUUUGGUG